rnacentral:lncRNA from 1 species
UUACAUUAAUAAUUUAUCAAAACUAAACUAUAAAAAUAUUAUUUAAUGCAUAUGGAUAAUGAUUAACAUAAAAUGAUAGUGACUUUUAACGGAACUUAUUAUAAGAAGAAAAAAAAAUAUUCUUCAAUAUUUUAAAGUAGAAAACUUUUAAUAUAUUUCCAUAAUAUGGCAUUUAAAACUACAUGCUUAAAAAAUUUAAAUCACUUUACUUGGAACCCAAAAUUACUCCCUUAAGAAAUUUAAAUAACUUGUAUGUGAAGUAACACAUGUUAGGAUGCAUUUAGUUGGCAUAACAGCACAUAUUAGGACACAAAUUGGUAGCCACGGUUGAUUUAAGACAACUUACCUGUAAGUGUGUCAUUUUCUGUAAAGUGCCCCUUUAUGAAAUCAUGUGAGCAACCUAUCAUUAGAAGAAGUCAUCAUCAUUCGCCCACAUAUAUUAACAUAUGCCAAGAAAAUAAAUAAAAGAAAACUUAUAAAAAUCCUAAUAAGGAUAAUUGAGAAAUGUGGGCGCAGUGCUAGCAAGAGUCAAAAACCUUGAAAAUCAAAACACACCAAAGAAGAACACAUGUUUUGAUUAAUUUGCCGGCACAGACCUGACCCUUUCAAACCUCUUUCUCGUACAAAGUUCCUUCCCCUGCAAUAUCAAGAAAUUCACUUCAUUAACAACACACACACACUCAUGCCAUGAUUUCUCAAAUUAGCAUGCUUUCCCUUUUCUUCUUCCUCUUCUCCUCUUUUCUAAUCGUUU